GGGGGUGUGGCUCACUGGUAGAGCUGCAGCCUAGCAAGCAGGAUGCCCUGGGUUCAACCCCCAGUAACACCA
rnacentral:tRNA from 1 species